CAUUUUUUUUUUUUUUUUUUUAACUUUGAUUUUGAUAUUUGGUGUUUUGGUUUGUUAAGUAAAACUUGUAUUGAUUUUUGUUUUGGUGUUUGGGUAUAAAUCUUGGUUUCUCUCCUCUCUCACACCUCUCUGCUGAUCUGGUUAUUCGGUCUCCGGUUUCGCACUCAGAUAUAGAAAGUUAUGAGCUGCUAAGUUUGGGUUUGUGAUUAUAUCUCAGCUUCAGAUGUCAGAAGCUAUAUUCAUAAUAUACUUGUCCUCCUUGCAAUUCACGAUGUUGUUCUCUGCACUGCUACAAGCCUAGGCCUGCACACUCUUGCAUUGGCUGUGGCUCAUAUACACAUUACAGAAUUUUUUUGAGGAGCAGCAGGCUAGAGAUUUCUGAGUUUGAAUGUUGUUACAGAGACCUCUAAUCUUCAUGAGGAAGCAAAAACUUCCACCAAAGAGGCCCUAAUUUUAACCACAGAAAAGUUAACUUGGUCCAAAUUGGUUCUUCAGACCCAGUCGAAGAGAAUGUACAAUCUACUGCAGCAUAUUGCUCACAUUGCUUUAUUAUUUUCUUUUUUCUUUUUAGGAUUGGACGCUCUCAAGAUCUUAAUUUUAAUCUAUUUUGCAUUUUACUUUUACUUAUUAACAAUGACUAUUUGUAUUAAAUUUACUUUUACUAUAAUAUUUUUCAUUGAAAAAAUCAUCAUAUUAA